AACGACGCUGGCGGCAGGCCUAAAACAUGCAAGUCGAACGAACCGUUCGGGUUAGUGGCGCACGGGUGAGUAACGCGUGGGAAUGUGCCUCUGGGUGCGGAACAACGUCGGGAAACUGACGCUAAUACCGCAUAAUGUCUACGGACCAAAGAUUUAUCGCCCAGAGAUCAGCCCGCGUCUGAUUAGCUAGUUGGUGAGGUAACGGCUCACCAAGGCUACGAUCAGUAGCUGGUCUGAGAGGAUGAUCAGCCACACUGGAACUGAGACACGGUCCAGACUCCUACGGGAGGCAGCAGUUAGGAAUAUUGGACAAUGGGGGAAACCCUGAUCCAGCCAUGCCGCGUGUGUGAAGAAGGCCUUAGGGUUGUAAAGCACUUUCGGCUGUGAAGAUAAUGACAGUAGCAGAAGAAGAAGCUCCGGCUAAAUUCGUG
rnacentral:rRNA from 1 species